UUUUUAGUUAAACUAUAUUUGAACAGUUAUCAACUCUAUAUGGUACAACUUCUUUCAGAAAAAUCACAAAGUGUCAAAAGGAGUCAGGAGGAGGAGGAAAAGGUCAAGUGUUCUCAGUAUUAUAUUUAGCAAGAAUACCCUCACUUUGGAGGUCACUUUUCAGUGUGUGGGUUUCCUCUGUGUGGCGUCCCACAGAGCGGUGGACUGUGGGCCAGAGCUGGGCCAGAGCUGGGCCAGAUGGGUUUCAGAGUGAGGGCCUGUCUGGGAUGGGAGAGUCCACGCCGAAGAGAACACCAUGUCAGAUGAACCCCAACAGUGACUGACAACUUACAUUUACAGCAAAGUUUUUCCUACAGUGACUAUUAUGAGAUGUCUACUCCGUUCCCGACCAUCGCAGCAUACAAGCUGAGAAAGUGAUCGUUAGAAAGGCAAAUUUCACAUUUUAAGUUUGGUAAUACAUGGAGAAUAUGCAACACCACCAUCCCUUGAAAACAUACAAUUCCAUAUAAAGUCAGCACCCAAAAAAAAACAGAAAAAAAAAACACUUGUAUAUCAUCAACGCAUCCAGAACAUAAGGUUGUUGUUUUCAUAUGCUAGUUCACUGCUAGAAAUAGUCCAACUGAAUCUAUAGGCACCAGCACAAAGUUUGGAAAAUGAGUUGCAGCAUUGGACUGUAUCACAGACCUGACCCAACUCUGGUUGAAGAAGUACACUUUCCUUGUAAUCCCCAAAGUCUAGCAGCAAUAGCACAUCCCUUCAACCCAAACUCACCAUCAUACAAAAGAGAGAGAUAGAGAGGGAGAGAGAGAGAGAAAGAGAAAGAGAGAGUGAGAGAGAAAGAAACAUUUGUAGUAUGGGAAGCACAUCCACUAACAUAAACUACAAAGUGAAAGACGCACAUUUCUUCUGGAAAUGGACGAAAUCGGCACCACCACAUGCAAACAUCCUUUGAACAUAGCAUUCAAAACAAAUGGGUUUCCUAGCAUAGUUUUGGGGUAACUGGUAGGUAUUGUACUUUUCUCAAUCCUACUGAGUGUUAAAG
ensembl:lncRNA